rnacentral:rRNA from 4 species
AGCGCAUACGGUGGAUGCCUUGGCAGUCAGAGGCGAUGAAAGACGUGGUAGCCUGCGAAAAGCUUCGGGGAGUCGGCAAACAGACUGUGAUCCGGAGAUGUCUGAAUGGGGGAACCCAGCCAUCAUAAGAUGGUUAUCUUGUACUGAAUACAUAGGUGCAAGAGGCGAACCAGGGGAACUGAAACAUCUAAGUACCCUGAGGAAAAGAAAUCAACCGAGAUUCCCUUAGUAGUGGCGAGCGAACGGGGACCAGCCCUUAAGUUGUAUUGAGAUUAGCGGAACGUUCUGGAAAGGACGGCCAUAGUGGGUGAUAGCCCUGUACGCGAAAAUCCCUUUGCAAUGAAAUCGAGUAGGACGGGGCACGAGAAACCUUGUCUGAAUAUGGGGGGACCAUCCUCCAAGGCUAAAUACUACUGACUGACCGAUAGUGAACCAGUACCGUGAGGGAAAGGCGAAAAGAACCGCGGAGAGCGGAGUGAAAUAGAUCCUGAAACCGUAUGCGUACAAGCAGUGGGAGCCCACUUUGUUGGGUGACUGCGUACCUUUUGUAUAAUGGGUCAGCGACUUAUUUUCAGUGGCGAGCUUAACCGAAUAGGGGAGGCGUAGCGAAAGCGAGUCUUAAUAGGGCGUCUAGUCGCUGGGAAUAGACCCGAAACCGGGCGAUCUAUCCAUGGGCAGGUUGAAGGUUGGGUAACACUAACUGGAGGACCGAACCGACUACCGUUGAAAAGUUAGCGGAUGACCUGUGGAUCGGAGUGAAAGGCUAAUCAAGCUCGGAGAUAGCUGGUUCUCCUCGAAAGCUAUUUAGGUAGCGCCUCAUGUAUCACUGUAGGGGGUAGAGCACUGUUUCGGCUAGGGGGUCAUCCCGACUUACCAAACCGAUGCAAACUCCGAAUACCUACAAGUGCCGAGCAUGGGAGACACACGGCGGGUGCUAACGUCCGUCGUGAAAAGGGAAACAACCCAGACCGUCAGCUAAGGUCCCAAAGUCAUGGUUAAGUGGGAAACGAUGUGGGAAGGCUUAGACAGCUAGGAGGUUGGCUUAGAAGCAGCCACCCUUUAAAGAAAGCGUAAUAGCUCACUAGUCGAGUCGGCCUGCGCGGAAGAUGUAACGGGGCUCAAACCAUGCACCGAAGCUACGGGUAUCAUCUUUUGAUGAUGCGGUAGAGGAGCGUUCUGUAAGCCUGUGAAGGUGAGUUGAGAAGCUUGCUGGAGGUAUCAGAAGUGCGAAUGCUGACAUGAGUAACGACAAUGGGUGUGAAAAACACCCACGCCGAAAGACCAAGGUUUCCUGCGCAACGUUAAUCGACGCAGGGUUAGUCGGUCCCUAAGGCGAGGCUGAAAAGCGUAGUCGAUGGAAAACAGGUUAAUAUUCCUGUACUUCUGGUUAUUGCGAUGGAGGGACGGAGAAGGCUAGGCCAGCCUGGCGUUGGUUGUCCAGGUUUAAGGUGGUAGGCUGAGAUCUUAGGUAAAUCCGGGAUCUCAAGGCCGAGAGCUGAUGACGAGUGUUCUUUAGAACACGAAGUGGUUGAUGCCAUGCUUCCAAGAAAAGCUUCUAAGCUUCAGGUAACCAGGAACCGUACCCCAAACCGACACAGGUGGUUGGGUAGAGAAUACCAAGGCGCUUGAGAGAACUCGGGUGAAGGAACUAGGCAAAAUGGCACCGUAACUUCGGGAGAAGGUGCGCCGGUGAGGGUGAAGCAUUUACUGCGUAAGCCCACGCCGGUCGAAGAUACCAGGCCGCUGCGACUGUUUAUUAAAAACACAGCACUCUGCAAACACGAAAGUGGACGUAUAGGGUGUGACGCCUGCCCGGUGCCGGAAGGUUAAUUGAUGGGGUUAGCGCAAGCGAAGCUCUUGAUCGAAGCCCCGGUAAACGGCGGCCGUAACUAUAACGGUCCUAAGGUAGCGAAAUUCCUUGUCGGGUAAGUUCCGACCUGCACGAAUGGCGUAACGAUGGCGGCGCUGUCUCCACCCGAGACUCAGUGAAAUUGAAAUCGCUGUGAAGAUGCAGUGUAUCCGCGGCUAGACGGAAAGACCCCGUGAACCUUUACUAUAGCUUUGCACUGGACUUUGAAUUUGCUUGUGUAGGAUAGGUGGGAGGCUUUGAAGCGUGGACGCCAGUCUGCGUGGAGCCAACCUUGAAAUACCACCCUGGCAACUUUGAGGUUCUAACUCAGGUCCGUUAUCCGGAUCGAGGACAGUGUAUGGUGGGUAGUUUGACUGGGGCGGUCUCCUCCUAAAGAGUAACGGAGGAGUACGAAGGUGCGCUCAGACCGGUCGGAAAUCGGUCGUAGAGUAUAAAGGCAAAAGCGCGCUUGACUGCGAGACAGACACGUCGAGCAGGUACGAAAGUAGGUCUUAGUGAUCCGGUGGUUCUGUAUGGAAGGGCCAUCGCUCAACGGAUAAAAGGUACUCCGGGGAUAACAGGCUGAUACCGCCCAAGAGUUCAUAUCGACGGCGGUGUUUGGCACCUCGAUGUCGGCUCAUCACAUCCUGGGGCUGAAGCCGGUCCCAAGGGUAUGGCUGUUCGCCAUUUAAAGUGGUACGCGAGCUGGGUUUAGAACGUCGUGAGACAGUUCGGUCCCUAUCUGCCGUGGACGUUUGAGAUUUGAGAGGGGCUGCUCCUAGUACGAGAGGACCGGAGUGGACGAACCUCUGGUGUUCCGGUUGUCACGCCAGUGGCAUUGCCGGGUAGCUAUGUUCGGAAAAGAUAACCGCUGAAAGCAUCUAAGCGGGAAACUUGCCUCAAGAUGAGAUCUCACUGGAACCUUGA